GUUAUUGCAUAAAGGACUUUAUUUUUUGUUUCAUCCGAAUCCUCUUUUUUUAGGGCGCCGAAGAGAAUCUUCAAUCCAUCAUUUUCUAUAAGCGCUUGUUGAGAUUUAGGAUUAUUUUGAACGGCAGUUGCGAUCGUCCAAGCAGCUAAUCUGCGCAAGGUAGAUUCCGGACUCUCAAGCUGUUUCAAUAGGCGAGGCCACAAUUGCAGGGGAACCAAAUUAUUUGCAUUGUCAAUAUGCUCUACGAGCAUUUCUAAGUUGUCAAAAGCUAUCUCUUUCUGAUCUAAAGGUACCGAUGGAUCCUCAAUUGCGUCCAUCGCUUUCCUCAUUUCAUCAGCUGGGUUUGCUCCAAAAAUAUGAUCUAAAACUGAGGGAUCAAGGUCUUUAGGAUCAGGAGGAGAAUUGGAAGAGUUUCCUUGAGCUUGCAACUGCGUACUGAAGGCCAAAAGUUUCUCCAUUGUGUCAAGAAUAAACAA